GCGGCGGACGGGCUGAGUAACACGUGGGCAACCUGCCUGUAAGACUGGGAUAACUUCGGGAAACCGAAGCUAAUACCGGAUAGGAUCUUCUCCUUCAUGGGAGAUGAUUGAAAGAUGGUUUCGGCUAUCACUUACAGAUGGGCCCGCGGUGCAUUAGCUAGUUGGUGAGGUAACGGCUCACCAAGGCAACGAUGCAUAGCCGACCUGAGAGGGUGAUCGGCCACACUGGGACUGAGACACGGCCCAGACUCCUACGGGAGGCAGCAGUAGGGAAUCUUCCGCAAUGGACGAAAGUCUGACGGAGCAACGCCGCGUGAGUGAUGAAGGCUUUCGGGUCGUAAAACUCUGUUGUUAGGGAAGAACAAGUACGAGAGUAACUGCUCGUACCUUGACGGUACCUAACCAGAAAGCCACGGCUAACUACGUGCCAGCAGCCGCGGUAAUACGUAGGUGGCAAGCGUUAUCCGGAAUUAUUGGGCGUAAAGCGCGCGCAGGCGGUUUCUUAAGUCUGAUGUGAAAGCCCACGGCUCAACCGUGGAGGGUCAUUGGAAACUGGGGAACUUGAGUGCAGAAGAGAAAGCGG
rnacentral:rRNA from 2 species